AGAUGAAGUUAGUUUGUAAUUUGUCCGCUAGUAGCCGGGAUCGUCUGUUUGCGUGGUAUUUUCCCUGCCUCCCUUACAAGGGGAAGCCGUUACAGCGCAGGUGAAAAAGGCGGCAAGGGGUUGCAUUCGCGAAAGUUCACUCAUUCGUUCGCUCGUUAGUUCCGCGUGUUUCUGGACUCAAUUUCUGAGCGCUGAACGCGAUCUCGUUUGUAUAUGUGUUUCCUUACAAUCCUCAGCAAUAUGUAUACUGUAAACGGUGAGGUAUGGGUUGAUCGGUGGUGAGCAUGAGGAAAGUUAUGAAAAGAUUGCAACCCCGUUUGAAGAGCGAGCGAACUUAUGCACGGCGUUAUAAUAUAACAUCGCAGCGUAACUUUUCGAAACACGCGAAACGUGGAAGAGGAAAUGGCGCGCAGCCAAGUAGGUACGUGGGAGAACAGACGAUGGAUGGAGGGGAAAGGCAUGCUGCCACUUGCCAGAACCAGCACACCAUAUCAAACUCAUCCAACAAACCCUAAGGCCGCAUCGUCGAUGGAGCCCGUUAUGUUAUAGCAUAACCUACCUGCCCACUGGCUUCCGCAUUUCCUCUUUCGCGUUGCUCGUGGAACAGUUCAGCCUCGGGCGGGGAUGUAUUGAAACGGGAAGGCAUCACACGGAGUAACACGGUGGCGGCAGCUGCAGCCAUGAUUUGGUUUGGUUCAGUACAGCUCGUUUUGUAGAUUGUUGCGCUUGCGAGAUUUUAAUCAAUAAU